GAACGGUAACGACGGGAGCUUGCUCCCGGGCGACGAGUGGCGGACGGGUGAGUAAUACUUAGGAAUCUGCCCAGUAGUGGGGGACAACUCGAGGAAACUCGAGCUAAUACCGCAUACGCCCUACGGGGGAAAGCGGAGGAUCCUUCGGGACUUCGCGCUAUUGGAUGAGCCUAAGUCGGAUUAGCUUGUUGGUGGGGUAAAGGCCUACCAAGGCGACGAUCUGUAGCUGGUCUGAGAGGACGAUCAGCCACACUGGGACUGAGACACGGCCCAGACUCCUACGGGAGGCAGCAGUGGGGAAUAUUGGACAAUGGGGGCAACCCUGAUCCAGCAAUGCCGCGUGUGUGAAGAAGGCCUGCGGGUUGUAAAGCACUUUCAGUAGAGAAGAAAAGCUCAUGGUUAAUACCCGUGGGUCUUGACGUAACCUACAGAAGAAGCACCGGCUAACUCCGUGCCAGCAGCCGCGGUAAUACGGAGGGUGCGAGCGUUAAUCGGAAUUACUGGGCGUAAAGCGCGCGUAGGCGGUUUGGUCAGUCGGAUGUGAAAGCCCUGGGCUCAAC
rnacentral:rRNA from 1 species